CCUACGGGAGGCAGCAGUGGGGAAUAUUGGACAAUGGGGGGAACCCUGAUCCAGCCAUGCCGCGGGUGUGAAGAAGGCCCUCGGGUUGUAAAGCACUUUCAGUGAGGAAGAACGCCUGGUGGUUAAUACCCAUCAGGAAAGACAUCACUCACAGAAAAAGCACCGGCUAACUCCGUGCCAGCAGCCGCGGUAAUACGGAGGGUGCGAGCGUUAAUCGGAAUUACUGGGCGUAAAGCGCGCGUAGGUGGCUUGAUAAGCCGGUUGUGAAAGCCCCGGGCUCAACCUGGGAACGGCAUCCGGAACUGUCAAGCUAGAGUGCAGGAGAGGAAGGUAGAAUUCCCGGUGUAGCGGUGAAAUGCGUAGAGAUCGGGAGGAAUACCAGUGGCGAAGGCGGCCUUCUGGACUGACACUGACACUGAGGUGCGAAAGCGUGGGUAGCAAACAGGAUUAGAUACCCUAGUAGUC
rnacentral:rRNA from 1 species